CCAGGUCCUACUCUUUCGGUUCACCAGAUAGGGCUGUAUGCAUUGGUCAGCCAAGUCUACUCCCCCCAUAAACUAUCUGUAGUCUACAACGCACUCCGGCUUCUCCAGCUGCUCAGUUCCACCUCUCACAGACACUGGCACUGAAGUUUCAUCGUGCAUUGUAGACAACAUGAAUACAUCCUUCCUAUUGGUGAAGCAAAG